UACAGAGGUCUCAAGCGUUGUUCGGAUUCAUUGGGCGUAAAGGGUGCGUAGGUGGCGAGGCAAGUCAGAUGUGAAAUCCCGGGGGCUCAACCCCGGAACUGCAUUUGAAACUGCCUUGCUCGAGUACUGGAGAGGAGACUGGAAUUUACGGUGUAGCAGUGAAAUGCGUAGAUAUCGUAAGGAAGACCAGUGGCGAAGGCGAGUCUCUGGACAGUUACUGACACUGAGGCACGAAGGCCAGGGGAGCAAACGGG
rnacentral:rRNA from 1 species